AGAGUUUGAUCCUGGCUCAGAAUGAACGCUGGCGGCGUGCUUAACACAUGCAAGUCGAACGAGAAAGUCCGAAGCUUGCUUUGGGCGAGUAAAGUGGCGCACGGGUGAGUAACGCGUGGGUAAUCUACCUUUGAAUCUGGGAUAACACUUCGAAAGGGGUGCUAAUACCGGAUAACAUCUUUGCCAUUGCGGUGGUGGAGAUCAAAGAUGGCCUCUUCUUGAAAGCUAUUGUUUGAAGAUGAGCCCGCGUACCAUUAGCUUGUUGGUGGGGUAAUGGCCUACCAAGGCGACGAUGGUUAGCUGGUCUGAGAGGAUGAUCAGCCACACUGGAACUGGAACACGGUCCAGACUCCUACGGGAGGCAGCAGUGAGGAAUUUUGCGCAAUGGGGGAAACCCUGACGCAGCAACGCCGCGUGAGUGAUGAAGGCUUUCGGGUCGUAAAGCUCUGUCAAGUGGGAAGAAGUUGUGUAUGGCUAAUAUCUGUGCACAUUGACGGUACCACUGAAGGAAGCACCGGCUAACUCCGUGCCAGCAGCCGCGGUAAUACGGAGGGUGCAAGCGUUAUUCGGAUUUACUGGGCGUAAAGGGCGCGUAGGCGGCUUGAUAAGUCAGUCGUGAAAGCCCGGGGCUCAACCCCGGAAGUGCGAUUGAAACUAUCAGGCUUGAGUAUGGUAGAGGGAAGUGGAAUUCCAGGUGUAGCGGUGAAAUGCGUAGAUAUCUGGAGGAACACCGGUGGCGAAGGCGACUUCCUGGACCAAUACUGACGCUGAUGCGCGAAGGUGUGGGUAGCAAACAGGAUUAGAUACCCUGGUAGUCC
rnacentral:rRNA from 1 species